GAUCCAUUCCCGACAGGAAUAAUGCUCUCAAACCAGAGUGGAUUAUGACAGAAGGACAUUUUCAAGCAACAAAGUGACCUCACAAAAGACGCUGGCUUGUUCCACGCUAAUGUUGACCCGCUUUCUUUUGUUGCUUUUGUCCUGGGCGACACCUGUACGUCAAAGUUAAAUCUGUAAGGCUUGGCUUUCAGGUGAAAGCAACAAUUACUCUCACUUGAAAAGGCACGAACUGGAACGUGGUUGGAUGGAGGUGAUGAGAAGGAAGCGAACAGGCCAGCAAACAGAGGACACAAUAUGAGUUUCACAGCUCCAGUGGUGACUUAUGGGGAGUCAGCUUAUGGCCUUCUGGGAUACUAUAGGCGGAACAUGCCUCCAGCCACUGCCCGGCAACAAUUCCCCAAUGACAAAUACUUACUGUAUAGGAUCAUCACUAUGGCCACACAUAUACCAACACCAGCUGAGCACAUGAGAAGGGCAGGAAAAAUGUCAAGUCUGUGAUUGUGGUGAUAAAUCUCAUGUCUGAAGCAACUUCUCGAAGCAAGAAAAAAAAGAAAAAUAAAUAGAGUAUCUUCAGCGAUAGUGCUGGUAUGCUGGAACCUAAAUACUGGUGUCCCUCGGGGGCUUCGGUUGACUGGGUGCUGACCUUUGCUGCCCUCGGACCACUAGCCACAUUCAAACAAGAGGCACAAGGGACACAUCAAGGACAACUAUGGGCUAAAGAGGAUUAUCGAUCGGGUCACUUGACCGAAACUUUGUAAAAAUACUGUUUUUUUUUUUGUUGUUGUUGUUGUUUUUUUUGCAUGCAAUAAAGUGUGAUUUUUUUUGUUUUAAAAAAUAGAUUUUUCUUUAAAUAGAUCAACAGACAAAAUGUUUACUAUUGUACUAUUUUACAUAAAACAGAAUGUUUGCUUUUUUAUAUAGAUUUCUCAUGAAUGCAAUAUUAAAGUGACUGAUGUUUUCAUUAUUAUUGUAUAUUGCAACAAAAUACACUUAAAUUAUUCUUUGACUUUUAUGAAUUUGUAGGGAAAAUCAAUAUUGCACACUUUUAAUUAAAAAUGUAUAAUCUUUAAAAAUACCUUGGUUAUCUCUUGGAUUGUUUUGUUCAGUCCAGCAGCUCUUUUCUUUGUACUCCCAUUUUCAUUCACUUUUGAUGUGCAUAACUUCAAGACAGAAUUAACCACUUUUAACGAGGUGUAAUAAACAAAAACUGAAAAUGAAUGACAAUGCAUACAAUAAAAAUAAAGCCUCUCUAGAGAUCUCA